AGUUGUGUGGCCUCAGCUGUGAGAGCAUGCGCGUACGAAGCGUAGGCGGCGUCCAUGCGUGGGUUCAAAUCCCACCGUGACUA
rnacentral:tRNA from 1 species